AAUGAACGUUGGCGGCAUGGAUUAGGCAUGCAAGUCGAGCGCGAAGAGUCAUUUGCUUGCAUUUGACUCUGAAAGCGGCGUAAGGGUGAGUAACGCGUAGUUACCUACCUCCGGGUCCGGAAUAGCUGCGGGAAACUGCAGGUAAUGCCGGAUAACAUCUCAGGAUCAAAGGUGAGAUUCCGCCCGGAGAGGGGACUGCGUCCUACUAGCUUGUUGGUGGGGUAAUGGCCUACCAAGGCUUCGAUGGGUAGCGGCGUGAGAGCGUGGCCCGUCACACUGGGACUGAGACACUGCCCAGACACCUACGGGUGGCUGCAGUCGAGAAUCUUCGGCAAUGGGCGAAAGCCUGACCGAGCAAUGCCGCGUGCGGGAUGAAGGCCCUCGGGUUGUAAACCGCGAAAGUAAGGAGGAAGGACCUGCGAAGAGCAGGUUUUGACCGAUCUACAGUAAGGACGGGCUAAGUUCGUGCCAGCAGCCGCCGUAAAAC
rnacentral:rRNA from 1 species